CGCGGGGUAGAGCAGCGGUAGCUCGUGGGGCUCAUAAUCCCAAGGUCGUUGGUUCGAAUCCAACCCCCGCAACCA
rnacentral:tRNA from 1 species